GCACCACCACACCCAGCUAAUUUUUAUAUUUUUAGUAGAGAUGGGGUUUCACCAUAUUGGCCAAGCUGGUGUCGAACUCUUGACAUCAAGUGAACUACCCAUCUCGGCCUCCCAAAGUGCUGGGAUUACAGGUGUGAGCCACCUCACGUGGCCUAUAAGAUUUUU